rnacentral:ncRNA from 1 species
UAAAAAGGGGAGCUUGAUUACAGGCUGAGAGGAAAUAAAUUUCGACCCAGGACCUGAUUUGGAUAAUGCCAACGUAGGGACAUAGCGAA